rnacentral:rRNA from 1 species
GAUGAACGCUGGCGGCGUGCCUAAUACGUGCAAGUCGAGCGAACAGACGAGGAGCUUGCUCCUCUGACGUUAGCGGCGGACGGGUGAGUAACACGUGGAUAACCUACCUAUAAGACUGGGAUAACUUCGGGAAACCGGAGCUAAUAACGGAUAAUAUAUUGAACCGCAUGGUUCAAUAGUGAAAGACGGUUUUGCUGUCACUUAUAGAUGGAUCCGCGCCGCAUUAGCUAGUUGGUAAGGUAACGGCUUACCAAGGCAACGAUGCGUAGCCGACCUGAGAGGUUGAUCGGCCACACUGGAACUGAGACACGGUCCAGACUCCUACGGGAGGCAGCAGUAGGGAAUCUUCCGCAAUGGGCGAAAGCCUGACGGAGCAACGCCGCGUGAGUGAUGAAGGUCUUCGGAUCGUAAAACUCUGUUAUUAGGGAAGAACAAAUGUGUAAGUAACUAUGCACGUCUUGACGGUACCUAAUCAGAAAGCCACGGCUAACUACGUG